rnacentral:rRNA from 1 species
UAGGGAAUCUUCCACAAUGGACGCAAGUCUGAUGGAGCAACGCCGCGUGAGUGAAGAAGGUCUUCGGAUCGUAAAGCUCUGUUGUUGGUGAAGAAGGAUAGAGGCAGUAACUGGUCUUUAUUUGACGGUAAUCAACCAGAAAGUCACGGCUAACUACGUGCCAGCAGCCGCGGUAAUACGUAGGUGGCAAGCGUUGUCCGGAUUUAUUGGGCGUAAAGCGAGCGCAGGCGGAAUGAUAAGUCUGAUGUGAAAGCCCACGGCUCAACCGUAGAACUGCAUCGGAAACUGUCAUUCUUGAGUGCAGAAGAGGAGAGUGGAACUCCAUGUGUAGCGGUGGAAUGCGUAGAUAUAUGGAAGAACACCAGUGGCGAAGGCGGCUCUCUGGUCUGCAACUGACGCUGAGGCUCGAAAGCAUGGGUAGCGAACAGGAUUAGAUACCCUGGUAGUCCAUGCCGUAAACGAUGAGCGCUAGGUGUUGGGGACUUUCC